AUCCCAUGAUGAGGACAGGAGAGGAUGCAUUCUUGCAGUCUCUCCCAAGCUUCAGGGAUGGUUUCCAUCCCUGUCUACUGGAAACUCGUAAUUUUCCCGCGAAGGGC